rnacentral:rRNA from 1 species
AGCGAACGCUGGCGGCAGGCUUAACACAUGCAAGUCGAACGGGCGUAGCAAUACGUCAGUGGCAGACGGGUGAGUAACGCGUGGGAACGUACCUUUUGGUUCGGAACAACCCAGGGAAACUUGGGCUAAUACCGGAUAAGCCCUUACGGGGAAAGAUUUAUCGCCGAAAGAUCGGCCCGCGUCUGAUUAGCUAGUUGGUGUGGUAACGGCGCACCAAGGCGACGAUCAGUAGCUGGUCUGAGAGGAUGGCCAGCCACAUUGGGACUGAGAGACGGCCCAGGCUCCUACGGGAGGCAGCAGUGGGGAAUCUUGCGCAAUGGCCGAAAGGCUGACGCAGCGACGCCGCGUGGGGGAUGAAGCAUUUCGGUGUGUAAA